rnacentral:rRNA from 1 species
GAUGAACGCUGGCGGCGUGCCUAAUACAUGCAAGUCGAGCGAACAGACGAGGAGCUUGCUCCUCUGACGUUAGCGGCGGACGGGUGAGUAACACGUGGAUAACCUACCUAUAAGACUGGGAUAACUUCGGGAAACCGGAGCUAAUACCGGAUAAUAUAUUGAACCGCAUGGUUCAAUAGUGAAAGACGGUUUUGCUGUCACUUAUAGAUGGAUCCGCGCCGCAUUAGCUAGUUGGUAAGGUAACGGCUUACCAAGGCAACGAUGCGUAGCCGACCUGAGAGGGUGAUCGGCCACACUGGAACGGAGACACGGUCCAGACUCCUACAGGAGGCAGCAGUAGGGAAUCUUCCGCAAUGGGCGAAAGCCUGACGGAGCAACGCCGCGUGAGUGAUGAAGGUCUUCGGAUCGUAAAACUCUGUUAUUAGGGAAGAACAAAUGUGUAAGUAACUAUGCACGUCUUGACGGUACCUAAUCAGAAAGCCACGGCUAACUACGUG